UCAGGGGAAGGCACCAGGGGAAGGCGGAGGAGGGAACCAAGGAUGGGAGCAGAGUGGCGUGAGCAGGGCCCAGUGUUUCCUCCCACAAGGCAGGUAGCCAAACACUGCUGAGAUGUCCUGGGCAAUGGGGGUGGGGAGAAAUGUCCCGUGCUGCCGCCUGGUCCUUGUCUCCAGAGCAGGAACCCAGGCUGGGGACCCAAAAGGGGGCAGGCAGGGGGGUGACGGUGAACAAAGGCCUCUCUGGGAAAGAGAUCCCAGUUGGCGGCAGGACGUACUUUAGGCCACCACGGGGCCCUUGCCAGCCGCCCUGAGGCCAGGAGGCGCCAUUUUCUCCGCUGGGGCUGGUCCCCUUCCGUCGCAGGGAGGAGGGGAGGGCGCGACCAGGCGGGCGAGGGGCGAGGAGGACAGGGCGGCCGGGCAGCGCCCUGCCCAGUCCCGCCGUCUCCAUGGCGACGGCUACCUCACCGCGGAGGCGGGGAGAGCUGCAGGGGAACCAAGGGAGAGAACUUCUGCCUCAGCCCAUCUGGUUCAUCUCUACCCUGGGAUCAGGGCUGGCAAACCCCUCUGCUGGACUCCCUGCACAGCCCGCCCCCUCCACCAGGCUCUCUGAUUCCUGCCCUCCUGCCAGGCAACAGAGAACUGACCCAGGACCUAUGGGUGAAAGGUGCUACAUGGGACUGUUCCGGGGCACAAAAAAAGUAUAAGGAACCCAGCACUUAAGGAGCUUCCUGCCAAUCAGGAUGAGAAAGGAAACACAGCAUGGUUUCACCACUGGACAAAAGGAAAGUAAUGUUUCUAAAGAGGCGACUUGGCUGCUGAUGCUCAGAAGAGCUUGUCAUGUGGACAGUGGACUCUAUAACCAGAGCAUAAAGUCUGCAGGGCCUGGACCUUCCUGUAUUUCAAGAUCCUUCUUCAUCCUGCCUUCUUCCUGCCUGACCUCUUGAGACAUCACACCCUCCCAUUCGCUACCCUCUUCCUGGAGUGCCCUUCUCCCUUUUCUGCCUGUUGACUCCUACAUUGAAGGACCAGCUUGGUCCUGUGACCUCAUCUGUGAAGGCUUCUUCAGUUCCCUAGCAGAAUUAACUGCUUCCUCGUGAUUUCUCAAAUGUUUGUUAUCAGAGGCAUGUCAUAUUAUUCAUUGUACUUAUUUAUUGAGCACCUCCUAAGCAUUAGGUCUCCUGUUAGGUGCAAGAUAUAGUCACAGAUACAGCAUAGGGCUGUCUUUGGAGCCUACAGGCUGGUGGUGGCACGGCUGUCAUGGGCCCCUUCUGUCCUCCACUUAGGGCCAGGCCCUUUCAGCAUCCUCAGAGCUCACCACAGGACACUGCAGCCACAAGUUUCCGUGUUGCUUGAGUGAGUGACCAAGCCUGGGCAAGUCUUCCUCUGAGUAUCCCCUGAUAGGUUGCUGACCUCUCAACAAGCUUUGGGGCAUGAGUUAGCUAUAAAAUAUGGCCCCGAAUAGUUGAAGCUGUUGGAUAUUAUGAUUUAAUGAUGACCAUGUGAUCUCAACAUUCAACAUGUUGACAAUGAAACUGACUUAGUUUACCUGUAAUGGGGCUUUUGGGGCUGACAGUCAUCAAUCAGUAGGUUCACCAGUAUUUUAAGUUUGAUCAGUUCUCAGCAGUAGUCAUGUACCGAUGUGAGAACUGAACCAUAAAGAAGGCUGAGCACUGAUGCUUUUGAACUGUGU